rnacentral:lncRNA from 1 species
GCAUCCGUUCCCUGACUCCCUAUUGUAACCUCUCCAAUACCUUCAUUGAUCUCCUGUCUCUAUAUAACCGCUAUGGUUGAGGAACCGUAAUGGUGAUGAUUGUCGACGAUGGUUUUCUUCGAUGAUUAUCCCAGCGUCUGCCCCUGUCAUUCUUUAAGUAAAAUCAUUUGAGAGGCAUAUGAUGGUGAUGGAACCUAACCAAAAAGUCAAAGUUUGGAUGAAGAGGUCAAAGAGCCAAGCAAACUACGAGCAAAAAGUAGAUACACGACCCUUGACCUGAUAAUGAUUUAACAAGGAGAACGAAGUUCAUGUAUUUGGUGAAUAAGCUUGGACUUGCUAAGGUUGGACUUGUUUUCAAUGGGUUCCAUGUGCUAUUGAAAUUCUUAGUUGAUAUUAAAGGUUGUAUGCUAAAUGCGCUGGUGCAUAACAGAGGAAAAUGAUCAGAGACAUAUGCAGGGGCAUAUUAUAUACCAGUCUAUAUGGCAUAUACUAAAAAAAGAACCAAAUAUGUCAUGUAAUAUGCUGAGAUGGAGCAUGAGUAGCAUAAAACACGCCCAAAUUGGCAUAUUAUACGUUGGGUUGUUUUGUUCAUUUUUUUUUUGUUUAUUUAUACAGAGUUAUCAGGCAUGUAUAGAUUGUUCACUCAUUUAGCUUUGCUAACUUCUUUGUUUACAUAUACUUCCAGGAUUGAUGGUGGAUUAAUGUUUAUACAGAGAAUCAUGAAUGAGACUAUGGUUUUUAAGAUCUGAAGACAUUGUCUUGCACUUAUUUUACUUGGUUAGCAACAGUAUCAGGUUUGCAAAUAUUUGUUGGUGGAUUAUUCAUACUUGAAAGACUAAACAGUUAAGUCGAACAAGGGAGACUAGAAGAAAUUUCACAAGCACCUAUUCAAGAUCCUUGAAGAAAAUUUAAUUUGAUUUGAAGAUUUUGUAAAUAAUUUUGAGUAACUUUAUGAAUGUAUAAUAGAUUAUUAUGAUAUCUUUGAUACCAUUCUUAUGGCGCAAUUC